rnacentral:rRNA from 1 species
AGCGAACGCUGGCGGCAGGCCUAAAACAUGCAAGUCGAACGCCGUAGCAAUACGGAGUGGCAGACGGGUGAGUAACACGUGGGAACGUGCCCUUUGGUUCGGAACAACACAGGGAAACUUGUGCUAAUACCGGAUAAGCCCUUACGGGGAAAGAUUUAUCGCCAAAGGAUCGGCCCGCGUCUGAUUAGCUAGUUGGUGAGGUAACGGCUCACCAAGGCUACGAUCAGUAGCUGGUCUGAGAGGAUGAUCAGCCACACUGGGACUGAGACACGGCCCAGACUCCGUACGGGAGGCAGCAGUUAGGAAUCUUGGACAAGUGGGCGCAAGCCUGAUCCAGCCAUGCCGCGUGAGUGAUG